GUCCACGCCCUAAACGAUGUCAACUAGGUGUUGGGAAGGAGACUUUCUUAGUACCGCAGCUAACGCGUGAAGUUGACCGCCUGGGGAGUACGGUCGCAAGAUUAAAACUCAAAGGAAUUGACGGGACCCGCACAAGCGGUGGAUUAUGUGGAUUAAUUCGAUGCAACGCGAAAACCUUACCUACCCUUGACAUGCCAGGAAGUUUCCAGAGAUGGAUUCGUGCCCGAAAGGGAACCUGGACACAGGUGCUGCAUGGCUGUCGU
rnacentral:rRNA from 1 species